GUAGGUGGCAAGCGUUGUCCGGAAUUAUUGGGCGUAAAGCGCGCGCAGGCGGGUUUUUUAAGGUCUGAUGUGAAAGCCCACGGGCUCAACCGUGGAGGGUCAUUGGAAACUGGAGAACUUGAGUACAGAAGAGGAAGCGGAAUUCCACGCGUAGCGGUGAAAUGCGUAGAGAUGUGGAGGAACACCAGUGGCGAAGGCGGCUUUCUGGUCUGUAACUGACGCUGAGGCGCGAAAGCGUGGGGAGCAAACAGGAUUAGAUACCCUGGUAGUCCACGCCGUAAACGAUGAGUGCUAAGUGUUAGGGGGUUUCCGCCCCUUAGUGCUGCAGCUAACGCAUUAAGCACUCCGCCUGGGGAGUACGGCCGCAAAGGCUG
rnacentral:rRNA from 1 species